AGGGAAUCUUCCGCAAUGGACGAAAGUCUGACGGAGCAACGCCGCGUGAGUGAAGAAGGUCUUCGGAUCGUAAAACUCUGUUGUUAGGGAAGAACAAGUAUCGUUCGAAUAGGGCGGUACCUUGACGGUACCUAACCAGAAAGCCACGGCUAACUACGUGCUAGCAGCCGCGGUAAUACGUAGGUGGCAAGCGUUGUCCGGAAUUAUUGGGCGUAAAGCGCGCGCAGGCGGUCUUUUAAGUCUGAUGUGAAAGCCCACGGCUCAACCGUGGAGGGUCAUUGGAAACUGGAAGACUUGAGUGCAGAAGAGGAGAGUGGAAUUCCACGUGUAGCGGUGAAAUGCGUAGAGAUGUGGAGGAACACCAGUGGCGAAGGCGACUCUCUGGUCUGUAACUGACGCUGAGGCGCGAAAGCGUGGGGAGCAAAC
rnacentral:rRNA from 1 species